rnacentral:rRNA from 1 species
AGUGAACGCUGGCGGUAGGCCUAACACAUGCAAGUCGAACGGCAUCACAGUAAGAGCUUGCUCUUACGGGUGGCGCGUGGCGGACGGGUGAGUUAUACACCGGAAUCUACUUUUUCGUUGGGGAUAACGUAGGGUAACUUACUCUAAUACCGCAUACGUCCUCCGGGUGACAGCAGGGGAUCGUCGGACCUUGCGCGAUUGUAUGAGCCGAUGUCGGAUUAGCUAGUUGGCGGGGUAAAGGCACACCAAGGCGACGGUCCGUAGCUGGUCUGAGAGGAAGAUCAGCUACCUUGGAUGUGAGAAACGGCCGAGACACUUGCGCGAGGACGCAGUGGGGAAUCUUGCGGGAUGGGGGAAAGGCUGAUCCAGCGCUACCGGGUAGGUGAAGACGGAGUUCGGCUUGGAAAAUCCUUUUGUUGGGAAGGAAAAGAAGCAGUUUAAUCCCGCGCUGUUCUGACGGUACCCAAAGAAGAAGCCCCGGCUAACUUCGUG